UACGUAGGGUGCAAGCGUUGUCCGGAAUUAUUGGGCGUAAAGAGCUCGUAGGCGGUCUGUCGCGUCGGCUGUGAAAACCUGGGGCUCAACCCCGGGCCUGCAGCCGAUACGGGCAGACUAGAAUUCGGCAGAGGAGACUGGAAUUCCUGGUGUAGCGGUGAAAUGCGCAGAUAUCAGGAGGAACACCGGUGGCGAAGGCGGGUCUCUAGGCCGAUAUUGACGCUAAGGAGCGAAAGCGUAGGGAGCAAACAGG
rnacentral:rRNA from 1 species